UUAUCAAAUUUCUCUUGUAGAUCUUACAAUGUCAUGUCUUUCUCCCAGCACAACAGAUCAACAAGAAGAUUCUUGGAGUGAAGACAAGGAACAUGGUAGUAUUGCUUCUGCUGAGGAUAAUAACAUUGAAGGAAUUGUUUCUGAUAUAAUCUCAUCGAAUUUCCCACAGAUGUCAGUUGAGCGCGUAACAUAGCACAUGUUUUAAGGCAAGAUCGUCCUUCAAAUCGAGGUUUCCAUGCCCCCUGAAAUCCAAAUUUGGUAAAAUUUUAAUUUAUUAACUUUGAUGAGUUUGACAUGUAAUUUGAAUGAGUAUCUUGUAGUAACUUAUGUUGAGUUACUCAUAGAGAUGCAAUGGAAAUAGCGAAACAAGCAGAAAGAGAGGUUUUGAAAGCUGUCUCAAGUGUUAUUCAUGUUGGCAUUAAGCUACAUUUGGGGCAACCAUUUUCACAUAUUAGCCAUGGUUAGAAGUUAGACACAUUCAAGAAAAUUGGAGAGAAAAAUUCUUGCAUUUUGGUAUGCAUAAGGUUAAGCAGAUUAACAUUAAAAAAAUUGUUUUUUUUUUUAAGUAUUAUUCUAUAGCCAAUAUUUUGGAAGCGGGUUCAAUAGCUGCGAAAACUUCAAUAAUUUAUUUAUGAUGAGAGGUUAUGUUACCAUGACAAGAACAGAACACACUGCAAAGUAUAGAGUUUCCUUGCAACCAUGUAACACUACUGAAUGAAUGUGGUUAAACAAUUAACAGAUUUCUCUUUGAGAACCUUGUAGCUUUGGUUGACUGAGAAUUAGUUCAAUCGUGUUUAUUACUA